rnacentral:lncRNA from 1 species
UGAUGGUAAAUACCGAGUGUCGACUGGAUUGAAGGAUGCAAAGUAUUGAUCCUGGGUGUGUCUGUGAGGGUGUUGCCAAAGGAGGUUAACAUUUGAGUCAGUGGGCUGGGGAAGGCAGAUCCAACCUCAAUCUGGUGCGCCAUCUAAUAAGCUGCCAAUGAAUAUAAAGCAGGCAGAAAAACAUAAGAAGGUGAGACUGGCCUAGCCUCCCAGCCUGCAUCUUUCUCCCAUGCUGAAUGCUUCCUGUCCUCGAACAUCAGACUCCAAGUUCUUUAGUUUUGAGACUCGGACUGGCUUCCUUGCUCCUCAAGCUUGCAGACAGCCUAUUGUGGGACCUUGUGAUCAUAGAUCCUUGAUUAAUACAGAUGGGGUCCCACUAUGCUGCCCAGGCUGCUUUCAAACAGGGUCUUAACUCUGUCACCCAGGCUGGAGUGCAGUGGUGUGACCACAGCCACUGCAGGCUCAACCUCUGGGACUCAGGUGAUCCUCCCAUCUCAGCCUCCCAAGUAGCUGGGACUACAGGUUGCUUCUUCCAGAUCCCUUUUGAUCUACUUUCAGCUAUGGAUUCAUGAGAAUCAAGACUAAGCAGCCUGAAUUGAAGGAGUAACAGUAUCACCUAACAAUGAUUUUGCUGCCAUAGUAGCUGUUUGUAUACUGGCCAUAUGCCUAGGUAAAAUGAGGCCAGAUCACUCUCAAGAGUUUUCUAUCAGAGUUGGUGGUGAACUACUGCUCACGGAUAAUGACGAGAAACCCCAGCUGAGGAGGCAAAUAUACUCAAGGAAAGUAAUAGUUUCCAAAUGCCUGGCAGUGCCAGGAAGGGGCCAUGUCCAUGGACCACUAUGUAAGGAUAUCUCAGUCUCUAGUCCAGCGUGGUUUAUGGUGCCAAAUAAGUGCCAGGUGAACUCACUACAUCUGACAAAAUCUCAAGGAACCAAGUUUACCAGAUAAUAUUUAUGAUUAUGUGAAAAAGACUGAGGAAAUCACUCAAGUGAUCCAUCAUACAGCACCUCCAGUUCCAAAGAAUACUGACUUACUUCAGCUGUACUGGUCUGGAGCUGCACAUUCUUUUCAGACAACUCUUGUUCCAGCUAGAGUGCAAUGGUGCAACCUCAGCUCACUGCAACCUCCGCUUCCCAGGUUCAAGCGAUUCUCCUGCUUCAGCCUCCCUGGUUGCUGGGAUUACAGGUGCUCAUCACCAUGUGCAGCUAAUUUUUUGUAUUUUUAGUAGAGACAGGGUUUUACCAUGUUGCCCAGGCUGGUCUCGAACUCCUGACCUCAGGUGAUCCACCCACCUCAGCCCCCCAAAGUUCUGAGAUUACAGACGUGAGACACUGCACCCGACCGGGGUGUUCAUUUUCUAAAAUCUUAAGUUGAAUGCCUUUUAAAAAAAAAAAGUCUAUUUAAACUCUGAGUUUACUGCCAAGAAUUGCCUUGACUAGGUUUUCAGAGGCAGUAUUUUUCUUUUUCCUUAUUUUCUAAAUUGAACUUUUCUUUCUUGGCUUACAUUCUACAUUGUAGAAUUAUGUUACAAUUUACUAGGGGUUGAGAUGUGGUGUGUUUAAACAUAUGAUUGGUUGGCUUAAACAUAUAAUUUGUUUUUACUUGUAUU